CAAGCCUCCAGUCAGGAAAGUCCAAGUCCCAGUCAAGUCUCAUGUCCCUGAUGUCCAAGUCCCAGUCAAGUCUGAAGUCCCUAAGGUCCAAGUCAAGUCUCAAGUCCCUAAGGUCCAAGCCAAGCCUCACGUUCCUGAGAUCCAAGCCAAGCCUCCAGUCAGGAAAGUCCAAGUCCCAGUCAAGUCUCAUGUCCCUGAUGUCCAAGUCCCAGUCAAGUCUCACGUCCCUGAGAUCCAAGUCAAGUCUCACGUCCCUGAGCUCCAGGUCAAGCCUCCAGUCCCUGAGCUCCAGGUCCAGCCUCCAGUCCCUGAGCUCCAGGUCCAGCCUCCAGUCCCUGAGCUCCAGGUCCAGCCUCCAGUCCCUGAGCUCCAGGUCCAGCCUCCAG
ensembl:lncRNA